rnacentral:rRNA from 1 species
CCCUUAGAUGUUCUGGGCUGCACGCGCGCUACACUGAUGCGCUCAACGAGUUUUAACCUUGCCUGGAAAGGUUGGGUAAUCUUUUUAAAACGCAUCGUGAUGGGGAUAGAUUAUUGCAAUUAUUAAUCUUCAACGAGGAAUUCCUAGUAAGCGCGAGUCAUCAGCUCGUGCUGAUUACGUCCCUGCCCUUUGUACACACCGCCCGUCGCUCCUACCGAUCGAAGAGCUAGGUGAAUUGUUUUGAUCGAUAAGAUUUGACUAUGGUCAACUCUCGUUGUGAAAUUCUGUGAAUCUGACUGUUUAGAGGAAGGAAAAGUCGUAACA